GAGGCAGAAGAGGAGGAGGAGGAGGAGAGGUCAUCAGUAGGGGAAAGAAAAACAGCUGAAUUUUGUGCCACGACAGCCAAGCCAACAGACAGACCAGCUCACUGACAUCAAACUUGACUACUGAGUACAUAGGACAUUUGGAUGUGAUGCCA